rnacentral:rRNA from 1 species
GGAAAACUCACCAGGUCCAGACAUAGUAAGGAUUGACAGAUUGAUAGCUCUUUCUUGAUUCUAUGGGUGGUGGUGCAUGGCCGUUUUUAGUUGGUGGAGUGAUUUGUCUGCUUAAUUGCGUUAACGAACGAGACCUUAACCUGCUAAAUAGGGGCGCGUAUCUUCGGAUAAACGCAUCUCUUCUUAGAGGGACUUUAUGUGUUUCAGCAUAAGGAAGUUUGAGGCAACAA